rnacentral:rRNA from 1 species
GAUGAACGCUAGCGGCAGGCUUAAUACAUGCAAGGCGAAGGGGCAGCAAUGUCACUGUCGUACGGGUGCGUAACGCGUAUGCAACCUACCUAUCACUGGGGGAUAGCCCGGGGAAACCCGGAUUAAUACCGCAUAAUACAGGGGUACAGCAUUGUACUAUUUGUUAAAGAUUUAUCGGUGGUAGAUGGGCAUGCGUUCGAUUAGCUAGUUGGUGUGGGUAACGGCCCACCAAGGCGACGAUCGAUAGGGGAGCUGAGAGGUUGAUCCCCCACACGGGCACUGAGAUACGGGCCCGACUCCUACGGGAGGCAGCAGUAGGGAAUAUUGGGCAAUGGAUGCAAGUCUGACCCAGCCAUGCCGCGUGCCGGAUGAAGGCCCUCAGGGUUGUAAACGGCUUUUAUUCGGGAAGAAGAGCAGGGAUGCGUCCUUGUGUGACGGUACCGAAUGAAUAAGCACCGGCUAACUCCGUGCCAGCCGCCGCCGUAACAC